UACUAAUGGCCCGUGAGGCUUGACCAUAUAACACCCAAGCGGUCUGCCGAUGGCGACCGACAGCCGGAUACGACGAGACGACUCGUUCAGCAUGAUUCACCGUUUUUCGCCUGACGACCAUAGCGUGCGGGAACCACCUGAUCCCAUGCCGAACUCAGCAGUGAAACCGCUCAGCGCCGAUGGUAGUGUGGGGCCUCCCCAUGCGAGAGUAGGUCAUCGUCAGGC
rnacentral:rRNA from 1 species